CCUACGGGCGGCAGCAGUGAGGAAUAUUGGUCAAUGGACGGAAGUCUGAACCAGCCAUGCCGCGUGCAGGAAGACGGCUCUAUGAGUUGUAAACUGCUUUUGUACAAGGGUAAACCUGAAUACGUGUAUUCAGCUGAAAGUACUGUACGAAUAAGGAUCGGGUAACUCCGUGCCAGCAGCCGCGGUAAUACGGAGGAUCCAAGCGUUAUCCGGAUUUAUUGGGUUUAAAGGGUGCGUAGGCGGAUUGAUAAGUUAGAGGUGAAAUGUCCGAGCUCAACUCGGGAACUGCCUCUAAUACUGUUGGUCUAGAGAGUAGAUGCGGUAGGCGGAAUGUAUGGUGUAGCGGUGAAAUGCUUAGAGAUCAUACAGAACACCGAUUGCGAAGGCAGCUUACCAAUCUAUAUCUGACGUUGAGGCACGAAAGCGUGGGGAGCAAACAGGAUUAGAUACCCUAGUAGUC
rnacentral:rRNA from 1 species